AUCCCCAAUCGCUCCAGUUCUGUUCACCUUCCUACGGCGUCGCUCCCUCCGUCAAAAUCAUCAGCGAAGAACGGCGACGAAGAUGGCGGCGGCCUCGACGCCGCUUGGCGUCGCUGCUCUCGUACUGGGCUUCGGACUCAGGGCCUCCGCGCUGGCCAUUGGGCGUGGCGGCCCUCGAUCUCGGCCGCCACCUCGCUAGGGGCGGCGGGGCAGCGACCUGGUCCGGACUCCGGAGCUGACGAGUGAGACGUGCAGGAGGUAGUACAACUACAAGGCUUAGCCGCCGAGCCAGAGCCAGAGCCAGAGUCUCCCGAUCUGGCCGCUGUGAGUAAAUGGUCUCUUUUUAAUAACUGAUGAAAUCACUGCAUGUAAGGAUCUCUGUCCUAAGCUGAAUUCUGUAGGCUUGAUAGAUUCACCGAGCCGAACUGAUCUCAGCGACUGCCUGAGUUAUUUUACAGAUAUUAUUAUUAUUAUUACUCCAUCUGAUCCAUGUUAAGUAUCCCUGAUUUAGUACAACUUUAUGAAUCAGAGGGAGUAUUAUGUUUCAUUCCAAGUAUUUUCUUCUGUGACCCUGGCCCCUGGGUGUGGCACAAUAAACCUGUUGGCUUCGGCCUUUAUGUUCUUAUAUUUACUGGGUGCAUGAUUCAGUACUGCUGGACGAUGAAGCCGUGCGAGUCUUUUUGCACAACUGUUGAUCCGCUCUCAUGGCUAGCUAUCUAAAAAUACUCAUUGAUCGUUCAGAUGCACUUACAGAAUAAGUUCACAAAUGAGUACAGAUAAACUCGUUCAUAAGAAAUAAUAUUGCCUGCAUAUUAGUACAGUAGGCAUUACAAAAUAGGUUCAAUUCAACGAUAAAUGCAAUAAAUUUGAUGACAAGCUGAGUAUUAUAUAAAAAUAUUUAAAUGGGAAAUACUAAUCCUGGUCACCCUUGAAUUGUUGCAAGACAUUUUCUAUCAAAUCUGCCUUGAGUUGUCGAUGCAUUGGUCGCUCAUGAAUAGCUGCGUUACGUCAGUGGCAAGUUUAUGAAUUGGGCCUUGGGGUGUGGGAGUACCUUUGACAAUAGGUUUGGGGAUAUUGAGAUUGUAGUGGUAUGCUUGCAUGGUCUGGAUGUGGAUUUGAGGAGUUUGGCCUCAUGUAAUUUGAGAGAUUUCUGUCUCGUGGAUCCAUGAACUGCUAUUCCAAAUGUUCAAAACUUAUGGUUUUUUAGUUGUGUUCAAACUCUCUUUUGUAGGCAGCUGAAUGGAGAGGAGCCUGAAGGAGGCAACGGUAUUUUGCUACAGAGGAAGCAAGCUGCGAUGGCAACCGUUAUUUUCAGCCAACAGACACGGGUGAACAGUGUUAUGCAGAGGAUCAUUUUUGUUCCAAUCCAGGGAUACAUCAGGAAGCUCGAAGGAAAUCACUAGAAGUACUAGUGAAGAUUGGAUGUUUAAAGCAAAGCUACAAACUUGAUCGAGAAUCUAUAAGCCAGCUGGCCUCAGUGUCUCCUGUCUCCUGGGAAGUCAAGCUCAGAUUAGAUUGUCUAGUAGUUUUUUUUGUUGAUAUGGUUACCUAUAGAGCAUGAUAGGUAAUGAGCACAUAAUCUCUUAGGCCACCGAAGCCUACACCCACUAAUCUUUGGGGUCGAAGAGGGUGCUUAUGCCAAUAAUCUGGCAGGAGCAUUUUUAUAUCUGAAGAAAAGGCACGAACCAUUGUCCUUUUUUUCGUUUUGAAAGCUUACCUUAUCAGAAGGGCCCAGUGGCUGGAUGAUCGGUACAAGCUUUAUACUGAACUUGGUAAUUAAGCAAGGUAUGAUUCUUUCUUUUGGUACAGCUUGUUGAAACUUGCGAUCCAAUGAAGGAAAAUAUUCUUAGUUCAUCUCUUUUGGAACUCUCCUUGCAGAUGAUACAGAAUUCUGUCCUUGCAGCUUUGGACUUUAUUUUAGUUUUCUUGCUGCAAAUCCAAAGAAACUAUUCUUAGCUCCUCUCUUCUGGAACACUCAUUGCAGAUGAUGCAGAAUUCUGUCCUUCGGCUUUGGACUUUAUUCUAUUUUUUUAUCAAAAGAAACCACUCUUAGUUCCUCUCCUUUGGAACUCCCAUUGCAGAUGAUGCAGAAUUCUGUCCUUUCAGCUUUGGUCUUUAUUUUAUUUAUUUUUGCUGCAAAUCAAAAGAAACUAUUCUUAACUCCUCU